rnacentral:rRNA from 1 species
GAUGAACGCUGGCGGCGUGCCUAAUACAUGCAAGUCGAGCGAACAGACGAGGAGCUUGCUCCUCUGACGUUAGCGGCGGACGGGUGAGUAACACGUGGAUAACCUACCUAUAAGACUGGGAUAACUUCGGGAAACCGGAGCGAAUACCGGAUAAUAUAUUGAAUCGCAUGGUUCAAUAGUGAAAGACGGUUUUGCUGUCACUAAUAGAUGGAUCCGCGCCGCAUUAGCUAGUUGGUAAGGUAACGGCUUACCAAGGCAACGAUGCGUAGCCGACCUGAGAGGGUGAUCGGCCACACUGGAACUGAGACACGGUCCAGACUCCUACGGGAGGCAGCAGUAGGGAAUCUUCCGCAAUGGGCGAAAGCUUGACGGAGCAACGCCGCGUGAGUGAUGAAGGUCUUCGGAUCGUAAAACUCUGUUAUUAGGGAAGAACAAAUGUGUAAGUAACUAUGCACGUCUUGACGGUACCUAAUCAGAAAGCCACGGCUAACUACGUG